AUUCUUUUGUCUUCUUCUGUCUACGUGUGCAAACAUACAAAGGACCUCAAUAACAAAAGGAAUGCAACAGAUAAUUCUACUUCAACAAAGGAAAUUCAAAGGACUAUUCAACGGAAUUAUCCAUAUCAGGCAAAGGGCCAACGUUCUUGAUUGAAGCUUCUCAACGACUCUAUUUACACUGGCACUCUUCUCCAAUGCAUCUCAAAUGACUGCAUAUAUAAGGAGCUGAAGACAUUAAGAAGAAGAAUAACAAGACUCGAUUUACGUUGGCACUCCUCUCUCUCUCUCCCUCUCCCUAUCUUUCCAUCUCUCUCUCCCUCCCUCCCUCUCUCUCUCUCCCUCCCUCCCUCCCCCCCUCCCCUCUCUCUCAAACAAGAUUACUACUAAUUUCACUGUUAAGUUAUAUAUUGUUAAUAUGAUAAGAAGUGAAAAAAAUAAACUCAUACCACUGAAUCAAUGCUCGUAAUUAAUCACCAUUUUGUAGAAAAAAUGUAUAGCGAUGGAAAUGUGAAUAUUUGGUGAAUUACUAUUAACCACUAACAAAAACACGCAAUAUGACACUAACAGAUACACGUUUGAACAUCGGACACACCUUUGAUUAGAAGUGUCGGUGCUACAAAGGUAAAUUAAUAACAAGUUUAGGCCUCUGAUAUAUAAUCAAUAUCAGAUUCUAUUUAGCAUUUUCUUCCUGUUAGGUGAAUAGAACUUUAGGUGGAUUAAACUAAAGGCUAAAAUAUGGUUUUAGUCCCUGUAAAAAAAAAUUGUUUUUGGUCCCUGCAAAAUUUUUAUAUUUUGCAGGGACCAAAAACUACAAAAUUGGUUCAGUUAUAAUGUGCCACGUAUGCAAAUCAUCACAAAAGUGGGGUCAGAGACUAUUUUAAAAAACAAAAAAUUUUGCAGGGAUCAAAAACAAUUUUUUUUUACAAGAACUAAAACCAAAACGAGACAUAUUUGCAGGGACUAAAACCAUAUUUUAGCCAAAACUAAAAUAUAAGGGCACAGUGUCUUUGCUUUAGCUUUAGCCUUUACCAUUUUCAUCUUGUUAAUAAUAAGAAUCAAAUUUUAUUAAGAUUGUCUCUACUCUCCCAUAAUUAUGUGUUGGAUCAAGAGAUUUGAACAACUUUCAGCUUCUUUACCUUUUGGGCUUGUUGCAAAUGAAGAACAAUUUUCUAAAUCCCAAUUAUUAUUAUACCUAUGAAAUACUACAAAGGUGAUACUUUUAUGGCUUAAUUGCACUUUUCCCCCUAUAGUUUGUCAAUUGUGCGAUUUUGCACCCCAUAGUUUUAAACGAGCGAUUUUACCCCCUAUAGUUUCCCCCUUUCUGAUUUUAUGGUCCCCAUGACAUUUAGUGCUGAUGUGUCUGUUUUUUAUCAAUUAAUGUGUGCCACGUGUGUAAUUCCAUUUUUUAAAAAAUAAAAAAAAUGGUAUCUUGAUGCAAAAUACCAUGGGACCAUUUUGAUUUUCUUCUCUCAAAAUCUGAAAAAUACCAUUUUUUUCAUGGGAACCAUAAAAUCAGAAAGGGGGAAAACUAUAGGGGGCAAAAUCGCUCGUUUUAAACUAUGUGGUGCAAAAUCGCACAAUUGGUAAACUAUAGGGGAAAAAGUGCAAUUAUGCCUACUUUUAUAGUUUUAUUGACGUUGAAAAUGAGAAAAUGGUUUUCUCAAAAAACAAAAAAAAUGAGAAAAUGGUUCAAUAUGUACAUAAGAUGAAAAACCGCCUAGAAUUUUAACCACAUGGAUUGACAAUAGGGUAAUGAUGGAUAGUACGGGAUGAUAACUACGAAAAGCUACGAAUUCUGUUUAUUGCUUACACUUUGAAUGCCGUACCACCAUGUAUUCCGUAAAGUAAAUAUUUUUAGUAUUAAUUCAAGUGAUGAUUGUCAAGCUUUAAUUGCUACUACCCCAUGAUUUGUGUUCCAGCAUACUAAAUCUGUUUUUUAUUCCUUUAAAAUUAGACAUGUGUGCAUUCGUCAGUUUUCGUACGUGAAAUUAACCGUACCAUAUAACAUUUGCAAAAAAAAAAAAAAAAAAACUAUCACUUUCCUUUGUAUUUUAUUCAAACUGAGCAUAUUGAACGGUUUGUCCCCUUAGAUCAGUGUGUAUAAGCCCUUCGCCCUUUCAAGUUUCAACGGCGUUCGUUCAUUCUUUUCACAAAUCUUGUUGGAACGAUUUUCCUUCGUUUGCUGUCAAACUAAAUUAGUGUUUCCAACUUCUUCAAGGUAUUAUUUCUUUCUUUCACUUUGAUUUUUACCAAUCAUUCUUCUUUAUUUAUCAAUAAUCAACAUCAUUUUGUAAUGUUUUUCCAUUAUAUUGUUAAUUCGAUUGUAAUUGUUUUUCCAAAUUUCCUUUUAAUUAUUUGUAUCGGUUUAUUCCGUAAUUGGUUUCUUAAUUCCCAAAUUUCUUUAAUCAAAGUUGUAAUUUUUAAUAUCAAAUUCAUAGUUUCAUACUUCAGAUUGAAAGAAAGCAACUCUUUGUCUUCUCGUGUUUGAUUCUUAGUUCCUCUUUCGUCGUACUUUAGAUAUUCAAUGUUUGAUUUCUUAUUGAUGUAUGAUAUCUAUCAAAUUUUAAUCACUUUUUUAUGUGAUUGAAUUUAACUUAAUUUGUUUAUUUUUCUUUUUACAACUUAUUGUAGUCAUGAAAAGUAAAAAGAUUUCAAUUGCCGGUGCAAGAACAAAAGUUGAUGAGGUAGAGAGUCAUGAUGAACUUUGCCCUUAUUUUGAUAAUCUUCCAUAUCACCUCACUGCCCACAUUCUCCUUCAACUUCCCAUUAAGUCUCUUCUUAUUUGUAAAUCUGUGUGCAAAAUUUGGAAAACACUGAUUUCAGAAUCACAAUUUGCUAAAUCGCACUUUGAGCGAUCACCACUUAGUCUCAUGAUUCGGACCCUGACUAUAGAGGAGUGUCAAGAACCAUGUACCUUCUUGAGUGUGAUCCUGAAAAGUUUGAGAUUGGAAGCAACAACCAUGUGAAGCUUACACCUAUAUUCAAGCUUCCUCUCAGAUCAUUUAGGGAUAAAAGAGACGAUAUCAAUAAUGAAUCCAAGCACCCUUUUCGUGCUGCAAGAUUAGUUUCGGGAAAAAAUGAUGAGAACAGUGAUAGGGGUAGACAAAGUCUUUAUAUUGCUUGCAACAGAGAUUUUGAUAAGUUUGAUAUUGUGAAUUCUUGCAAUGGUUUACUUUGUUUGUCUGAUCCAUCUUUGGGAAACCCGUUAGUGAUCUGCAACCCAGUCACAGGGGAGUUCAUAAGACUUCCUGAAUCUACUGCGUAUCGAACUCGGGUAAGAAUGCAAGGACAAGCUGGUUUUGGUUUCCAACCUAAAACUAAUGAAUAUAAGGUGAUAAACAUGUGGGUGAGACAUGUUAAACGUGCCAAUGCGUGGGAGUUUGAGCGUGUGAUCCUUGAGAUAAACACACUUGGAACACCAUCCUGGAGGAAUGUUGAAGUGGAUCCUCACAUUUCUUUUUCGAGUCUCGAGUAUCCCACUUGUGUGAAUGGUGCACUUCAUUGGAUAAGAUUUGAGGGUCAGCAAAGGUCAAUAUUGUUUUUCUGUUUUGAAAGUGAGAGGGUGCAGUCAUUUCCUUCUCCUCCACAUGUGUUUGGAAAUCAUAAUAAUGGAAUUCUUGGUAACAGGCAUAUUAGCAUGGGAGAAUUAAAGGGAUUUCUUUACAUUUGUGACUCGACCUUUGCAUCUGAUGUUUCAAUGUGGGUUAUGAAUGAAUAUGGUAUUGAAGAAUCAUAGACUAAGGUUUACAACAUCAAUACUGCGUUCAAUCCUUCGAGCAGUUUUGCUUCUUGGCAUUCAGCUUUAUGGCCGAUAAAACACUUUGAAGAAGGUGCUGCCAUAUUGUUAUAUCAUUCCUACGACCGUUUAAUCUAUUAUGAACCUGAGAAAUAUAGAUGCAAAGCUUUUCAUAUUCACGGGAGUCGUUCAGGUUCUUUUGAAGUAAUCCCACAUAUUCCAAGUCUAAUUUAAUUUCAUUGAAGGAUGUCUUGAAAGGAGAUAAUAUGGAGGUGUUGAAUGUCCACUCAAGGUAAGAAUGUAGCUUCCAUAAUACUUUAUUUUUAUUGGCAAUUGAAUCUGAUGGUUGAUGUUCUCAUACAAGUCAUAGUAAUCAAUUUUAAUCAUAAGACAAUUUUUUUUUUUUUUUAUAAUUUUAGUUAUUUUCCUUAUCUAAUAUCUACCACCUUUAAUUACAUCUCUGCUCUGAUAGUUAAUGGAAAAAAAAUCAGGUGGGCACAAUCCUUCGUUACCAAUUACAUCUUAUAAAUUUCCUUUAUACUUUCGUGUUGAUGGAGGACGAGAAAAUGAAUGGGAAGUUGUUGUAAUGUCAGUUAUUUGGACCUUCUUAGUUGGUAAUUAGUAAAUAGUUUUCGAGACUAUUCCAUCCUCUGCAAUUUGCAGUUUUAGCUAAUAUUACUUAACCAUUAUUCCUGAAUAUUGGUUUAAUUUAUAUAGGUGUGCAAAGUUUAAAUUGCAGGAAGAAAAGGAAGGUAUAUCUCUGUCUCAACAGAUUGUUUGAGACUUAGAAACUACAUGUUUUCCAUUAUGGUGAAGAAUUUGGUGAAGAGCCCUCUUCCUAAGAAGAGUACGUCUGUUUUCGCUUUUGAUUGGUUUUCUGACCCCUGCGUAUUACAAUUUUAGUUAUGUUACUAAGACUAUGUUAUGUAAUAUUCGUGUUAUUUAUAUAGGUGUGCAAAUAUUAAAUUACAUGAAGAAAAUGAAGAUCUCGAAUGAUGGUUUGACAAAUACCUUCUUCCUCCGGUGGUGAGGCCUUUGGUGAAGAGUACAACUGAUAAGAGGGAAUUUCCAUACACUGGGCAGGGUUAUGUUAAAUCACAAGUUAUGAUUUGGCUAGUUGUGAUUUUUGAAAAAAAUACUAUUUUCGUUCUAGGAUGCAAAUGAUGUCUUUUUAAACUUUAAUCUAGAUGUUCGUUAAUCGUUAUCUAUGCUACAAGACUGGUAUGUUAUCUUGUUGGCUGGGUUUAGAAAAAGAUUGAUUAUUGCUCAGCUAUUUCAUUCUGUUUCUCGACCUCCUAGAUGUGUUUUACUUCAUCAAUCCUGCUUUCCUUGAUUCUUAAUCUUUAACUGCUCCUUGAAAAGGGUUUCUGAAUCCCUAAACGUUAAUCAUAAUGAGUUAUCAAUUUGAGGAGCUUUGAUGAAUAGUUUAGAUUUAAAUUUUUAAUGAUUGAAUUUCAAUUUUGGUGGCAUGAUAUUGAACCCUUUUACAUCCUUUUGUCACGUUCACUUUAAGGUUAUUCCCACCAAAUCAAUAAAUAAUUCAGAUUGUUAGUUAGUAUAUAAUUUCGCAUUGUCCUAUAACUACCUUAGUUUUAUGGUUUGAACUAUUUAGUUUAGUCCUUUAGUGGGAAUGAAGGAUAACUGCUGAUACAAGACAGGAGCGGUCUAUUUAGGAAAAUGCAUGUGAGAUCAAUUGAGUGUGUCAUUCAUAAUUUUGUGGGUUUGACGAUGUUGAAUACAGCAGGUUUGGGUUUGGUGAUGGAGCUGAAAUAGGGGUGUUGGUGGAAUAAAAUGGAGGAAUAUAAGAGGGGUAAAAUGGAGAUGGGGCUUUAACCGUGGUGUUGGUGGGAUAAGGAUAAAAUGGAGGAGUAGAGUUGGAAUAAGCCAUGGGAGGGUUUGAGACAAGAAUGAAAGCACCAAUUGAUAGGAAAUUAAAACCUAUCAAUAACAAAACUAUAAUAAACUAGAAGAUUCAUUAUUCUAGUCUUUCCAUGAUCUUAUAUAUGGAGACUAAAAUAAUGAAUCUUCUAGUUUAUUUUAAAAGAGAAUUUUUUUUAAAUAUAUUUUAUUAGUUUGUUUAGUAGUACUGUUAUUGUGUGGUUAAUGUACUUAUCUUACCAUGUGCAUGUAUCAACCUAUAUAAACAUUGUAUUAUCCUUUAUAAAGAAAGGAAUAAGAUGAAUCAAAAUGUUAUUUUAUUUUAAAAAUAAAAUAUUAUUCUUCCUAACAUCGGGCGUUACCCGAUGUGAAAAGUGGUUUUCAACCGAUGUGGAAAUCCCUUUAUGUAGUAGUGAGUACACGUAUAGAUUUAUGCUUUAAAAACUAAAAUAUUAUACGUUCCUAUACGGUUCAAAAUUUUGGUUUUUGUGUUAAUAUCUAUGUUUCUUUGUGUUUUUUGAUUGUCAUAAAAAUUGUCUAACAAAAUGGUUUGAUCUUAGUAAAAGAAGCUGAAAUAUGGUACUUAUGAUAUUUCGGUUUGGGAUGCAUUUUAUUUGGCAGUUUAUGGGUUAUUUUUUAUUGGCAUCGAAAACAUAUUACAUUACGGCAAGUAAUGUUUCACAAUUACAAUAAAGAUAAAGAAAGGAGUUUUAGUUUUCAAAUUUUUGAAAACCUCUAAUCUAACAUAAAACAUGUUUACCUUUUACUCAAAUUAUCAAUAUAGACUAAACAACAUUUCAUUGAUGUCCUCUAUUUUUAUAGAAAUGUUUAUGUAAUGACAUGGGAUGGAAGGAAACACUGUGAAUCGGCCUAAUAAAACAAAAGUAAAAAGGAUCAUCAGAUCCUUGUUGUACUGUAGUGUAGUGUAGGACCUAGAAGAUGACGUUACGUCCAACAAAACAAAACAAAUAUAUUUUCCCUUGUAAUUGCCGCAAAUCACAAGGGGUAUUACCGACAUAGAUUAUCCACAAACAAAGAAUGAGACAACCAACCUCAAAUUCAAUGGCAUAAAAAGUAAAUCCAACCACUCCACAUGUUUUGUUUUUGGAGUUCAUCACCAAUUUAUUCCAUCUCCCAACAAAGAAUCUUCAACUUCAACCCAAUCCAUCAUUUCAUUUUCAUUUAUUUCUUCAAUUCUUCUUUCUUUGCACUUCCACCUACUACUCUACUACUAGCCAUGUGCCAAGUCACAACCAGUUUCCCUAUUUUACCUAAUACUAUACUCUGUCUCUGAUCCAUACAUACACAAACUCACUAGUUCCUUAAUUGGAAUUAGAGUCAGCAUAACACAACUAAUUGGUCACUUUCUUCAUCAACAAAAUUCUCUGCCACCCCAGGUACUAUAAACUUCAGCUAAAAUUCUUUUGUCCUUUAUCUUCUACUAGUACUAGUAUUUUUUUUUUACCACACAGUUACUAUUGCUUUGUAUUUUAAAUCUUACGGUAUUUGCAUAAAUUUUACCAAGUUUUUCUAGUAAGAUUUAUAAGAGGAUGAAUUAGUGUAUGUUUUGAUUGACUUUGACAAAAUUACAAUAAUCCGUGAUUUUGUAAAAUUCUAAAGUGUAAAUUUUAUGAAAAUUGACCAUGAUUUUACCACUCUUAUUGGUAAUACAUAUAUGCACUAAUUAGUAGUAAUAGAGAGGAUUUUUGUUUCUUCCAUUUUCUACCACUAUCAAACAUUAGAGUAGUUGACCCUUUUUUUUCUAUUUUCUUCUUCAAACAUUUUAUUUGGUCCUUGGUUUCCUACUCGUCAUUAUCUUUCUAGAUGUCUCUAAUCCAAUUUGAUUGGUUGAUUAUUAUCACCCCAAAAAACUAUUUCUAAAAUAAUCUUUAUUGGUGACUACUUUCUGUUAUCUUCUGUUCAGUGCUUUUUGAUUUCUUUGACUUUUUUGUUUCUUUUGAACUACUUUUAUAUUCCAUGUGUCUUUUUUUAUCUUUAUUGUGGAAAUUUCUCUUUUGUUUAUAAAUUUUAUUUUAUUUCACAUAUGAAUUUAAUUUGGUUUUUUUAAAGAAUUUUUCAUGUUGGAGAGUGUUUGAUUCUUGUCUGUAGAAAAGUGAGUUGACUUAUGUAGCAAUUGCUACAACAAGGAGAAUAAAAUGAAAAGAAAAGAAAAAACAAAAUUUAUUAGACAAAGAAUUUCUUUUGUAAAUGAUCUUUGCUAAGCCUAAAUUGGUUAUUAAUGUUCCUUCACUUUUUCUCAAAACUAGUAUUACUACAAUUUGGAAAAUUUCUCUUUCUUUUAGUGUUCGGUGUUCCUAUCUCAAAGGUUCGAUGUAACAUGUGCAUUUACCUUUGUUUAUGGGACCUAGCUAGCUAUUCAAAGAUAAUGAACGUGUUAAAUAAAUAUACACGCACGCUCACAUGCAAAACAAAGAAAACCAUAGAAAUAAAUCAAUGACCAUGUAUGUUUGCAUUUAUUUAUCCCACUUUUUCUACCACGGUAGAAUACAAUGUACUUAUAAUAUUGUCUGUCUUUUCAGUGUGUGUGUGUCCUCACUGUCAAAAAUUGACUAUUCUCCAAUCAUCUUGUAUUAAAAUUUGGAUUUUCUAACACUAACACUAACACUAUUCUUUCACAUAGAUUUGCUAAAGAAAACUCUGUUGAAGGGGUGUGAGUGAGGAUGUUAGAGAGAGUGAAAGAGUUUAACAUGGACAAAGUUAUUGAAGAAUUCGAGUUGAUGACUAAAGAUGCAGAAAGGGUUCAGAGGGAAACACUCAAAAGAAUUUUGGAAGUUAAUGCAUCAGCUGAAUAUUUGCAGAAUUUUGGUCUUGAUGGAAGAACUGAUCUUGAGAGUUUCAAGUCUUGUAUUCCACUAGCUACUCACAAAGACUUGGAACCUUUUAUCAAUAGAAUUCUUGAUGGUGAUGAUUCUCCUAUUCUCACUGGAAAACCUAUUACCACUAUGUCUUUAAGGUGUUGUUUUGAUCUACUUUUCUUGUUUUUUCCUCUUCAUCUAUUUAGUCCUUGAACUCAUAAAUUUCCGCUUUUUUUUUUUUUUAACCGUAUUCUUGCAGUUCUGGCACUACGCAAGGGAAGCCAAAAUAUAUACCAUGGAAUGAUGAAUUGUUUGAAACUACGAUGCAGAUAUAUCGGACCUCUUUUGCCUAUAGGAACAGGUCUUCAUCUUCACUUCUUUUUCUUCUUUAUUUCUGAUAUUUGUUGGUUGAAUAGCUAUUUUGUUUUGAGACAAAAUUUAUGUGCAGCUCCCUUGUAUACCAUUUUUAUUGGUCUUUAGUCACAAUUUGACACGAUUAUGUGAAAAACAUAACAAAUAUUGUUUCGCAAUUUCGUGAUCAAAUUCCUUCAUACUAGUACCAAAUAGCAUGACUGAUCAAACAUUUAAUCAACUGUCAAAUGUUAUAAUUGGUUAACACAAUAAAUAGUAGCUAUAGAAUAGCACCUAUGUUUUUUUUUUUUUUUUUUUUUCCAAUUACUUAUUCUCAUUUAUUUUCUACCAUGCCUUUUUUCUAAUUGGAGUUGGAUUUGUGACACAAUUCCUUUCUGCAGAGAGUUUCCUAUAAAAAAUGGGAAGGCUUUAAACUUCAUAUACGGUAGCAAACAGUUCAAAACAAAAGGGGGUCUCAUAGCUACAACUGCUACAAGCAACGUGUUUCGCAAUCCAUCUUACAAACAUGCAAUGAAGGCACUUAAAUCGCAAUGUUGCAGUCCAGAUGAAGUGAUAUUUGGUGGUGAUUUUUUCCAAUCAUUAUAUUGUCAUCUAUUAUGCGGACUAAUUUUCCGCGAGGAGGUUCAAUUGGUAUGUUCAACAUUUGCACAUAGCAUUGUUCAUGCCUUCAGAUCCUUUGAACAAGUUUGGGAAGAGCUUUGUAAUGAUAUAAGAGAAGGUGUUCUUAGUAGCAGAGUCACGGUUCCCUCCAUUCGAACUGCUAUGUCUAAAUUGCUCAAACCAAAUCCAGAAUUAGCGAACAUAAUCCACAAAAGAUGUAUAGGAUUAAGCAACUGGUAUGGUUUGAUACCGGAGCUUUUUCCGAAUGCAAAGUACAUUUAUGGCAUUAUGACAGGUUCUAUGGAACCAUAUUUGGUAAAACUGAGGCACUAUGCAGGGGUGCUACCUUUGUGUACUGCUGACUAUGGAGCUUCUGAAGGGUGGAUUGCUGCAAAUGUUAACCCAAAAAUUCCACCUGAAUUGGCAACUUACGCCGUGCUUCCUCAAAUUGGUUACUUUGAGUUCAUUCCUCUCACACAGCUUGAGAAUGAAAAUACUUUCCUUUGUGUUAAUCCUCAGCCAGUGGGACUCACUGAGGUUAAAGUUGGUGAAGAGUAUGAAAUUGUUAUGACCACUCCAACAGGUAAGUACUCAAUUAUUGUCCGGUUAAUUUACUUUUGUUUGGUACAUUCACAUUAACUGAUGAAUGAAUCAGUACUAUGUACUACCAAGGACCACAACUACUUUUUUCUUCAUUCAUACUGCGAAUGUGAUGCUGGCAGGCACAUUGUGUAGUACUAUAAAGAAAGCCAUAAUAAUAAGGCCACCAACACACUCUUUAACACAAGUUUCAACACGUUCUUUUUUAUUGAUUGAAAUUCAUAAGGGUUAUACCAAAUAUAUAUGUGACUCACAUGAUUUGGUGUGAUCUAUAUGUGACCGGUAAAAGAGAGUAUGUUGAAACAUGUGUGCUAAAGAGUGUGUUGCUAGUUUUAUUUCCAGUUUAGAAGGAAGAGAAAUGUUGCUUGCAAUGCGGCACAUAGUAUAAAACUUCUGGCAUACUUAUUCAGUUCUAUUUUUAAGAGUUUUUAAAGUAGUUACGGAUAUAUGAAGGCAACAAAUAUUUUGACAUCAAUAUAUGUGCGAUAUGUAGAUUUUUUAUUUGCAGAUGCUGUUAACAAUUAACAUUACUGUUAUAUUCAUAUCUAAAAAAUUUAGAUAUAUAUUUCUCUUUCAUUCUUGAUGGGCCUGAAGUCGCGCAGUUAGGAGGGAUUUGAUCGAAUGGUCCAGAUUUAAUGCAGUCUAAAUAAUAAGAAUAAACCUGCUUUAAAUCUGGACCAUCUUGACUGCAUGAAAUCCAAAUCUGUAAUAAUGUAUGGAUUUCCCUUUCAAUUGCGGUUUUAACAAAAAGAAAAUAUUUUAAAUGCUUCUGGGAAAUGACGACUCGUGCUUACUUUGUGGAUGUAUUUUAUGCUUGGUGGUUUGACCAUCUUUGGGACCAAAUUAGACAAGUUUAUUCAUACUGAUUGAAUGCUUUUGAAAGUUGUAUCAUACCUAAUCAGAUUAAAAUAUAGCAAGUGUCAAUAGUAUAAUCUUGCAAGUUGCAGGCAGACUUGUCUUUAGUUAUUUAAUCGAGCUUUUCUAGGAUUUAAAAAACGAUUGUUUAUUUAGUUGAAAUUGGUUGUGCCUUGACCUUAUCUGCUUCGUCAUUUUCAACUUUGUUUCCAUGAUUCAUGGCACUUUAUAAUGCAGUAAUACUGUACUGUAUGUAUUCUGUAUUGUUGAUAUAACCUAUGCUAAGAACAAAAUUAUAAUUUCAUGAAAUUUCAAUUGUGUUUUUAUAUUAUAAGUAAUAAAUAUUCUUAGUAUAAGAUUUUAAAGAUUUUCAGCAAAGUCUCAUUGGUGAACUAAUGAAGUAUAAUCCGUAUUGAAUGUGCACAAUAUAGAUGAAUUGACUAUAUGAUCCAAUUCAAAUAUUCAUUAAGAAAAACCAGUGCUGAACAUUAAUCAUUUCACCUUCAUGACUAAAUUUCAGGUUUAUACAGGUAUAGGCUAGGGGAUGUGGUAAAAGUUAUGGGAUUCCAUAACUCAACUCCAGAACUAAAGUUUAUUCGUAGGAGUAGUCUUCUGCUAAACAUAAACAUUGACAAGAACACAGAGAAAGAUUUACAGUUAGCCGUGGAAGCAGCGGCAAAAUUAUUAGUAGAAGAGAAAUUGGAAGUUGUUGAGUUCACAAGCCAUGUUGAUUUAUCCAAAGAGCCAGGGAACUAUGUAAUCUUCUGGGAAAUCAACGGGGAAGCAAGUGAAGAAGUGCUUCAUGAAUGUUGCAACUGUUUGGACAAGUCUUUUGUCGAUGCAGGCUACACUAGUUCUCGUAAAGUCAACGCUAUUGGAGCCUUAGAACUUCGAGUUGUUAGGAAAGGAACAUUUCAAAAGAUUCUUGAUCAUUACCUUGGAUUAGGAACAGCUGUUAGUCAGUAUAAAACACCAAGAUGUGUAGGUCCUACACACAACAUUGUGUUGCAAAUAUUGAGUGAAAAUGUUGUCAAGAGCUAUCACAGUACUGCAUUCAAUUGAACAAUAAUAACAACUGACAUUGGUAAUAGUCUGUAAUCUAUAAAGUUGCCUUAGUUUUAGUAAAAAAAAAAGGGUAUAUUUACAUAUAUGCAACUUUCUAACAUUUUUUUCAUCUUUUUAUAAGUAUGGUUCAAUACCUGCCCAAGUAUAUUCGGCUUAGGAUGGUUGAUUUUUCAAUACCUGCCUGAUGUACAAGGUCUGAAGAAUUAACAAAGACUAUGUUGUUUACAUACUAAUCCUGCUUCAAUGUUUACAUACUGAAGCUUGAAUAUUGGGAUAUAGAUCUUGUGUGUUGUUGAAAUAAAUAGUAAAAGGUUUACCGUGAAGUAUAAGAGAUCAUUGUGGUCACUUUGUAAAAGGUUUUUGGCAGAAUCUUGGAACAAAAAAUGCCUUACUUGCUGAGUUAUGGAGUUUUUUCUUUGGUUGUCAAAUGGCUGGAGAAAAGGAUCUUACUCAUGUCAUCGUAAAAAUUGAUUCAACUCAUGUUGUUAAUAUGAUCCACAAUCGGUUUACUUCUAUUCUCCAUCGUUAGCCUCUUCUUUAGGGGUCCUUUUCUUAUCCACCUCCUAGGUUAGACUAUUCAGGUUAAUCACAUUCAUCGGAAAGCAAACUCAUGUGUCGAUGCCCUUGCUAUUAGAGGUCAUGAUGUCGAUUUCUCGCUUGUUAUGAAAAAUGUUGUUCCUACUAGUAUUAAUAUUCUUCUUGACAUAAUCCAAAAAAAAAAAAAAUAUUAUAGUCAUGCACUCUUUUUCUUUUUCCUUUCAUAUAUAAAAAAAACCUCCAAGAUUAGUUAAUUGGGAGUAAUUAACACAUGAAUUCUUUUAUUUGUCAAAAUUGGAUGACAUCUUUGGAAUAUUAAUGGAUGCAUUAUUCCUUCAUAUGCAUUGAAAGUACAACUUUUUAACAUUAACCUACAACAUCAAUGGUUGAAAUUUUGAUCAAUUUGACCAUUUCAUUUUUUUUGUAUUAAGCCAAGUCAAGAAAGCUCAAUUUGACAUUUUCAAAGGAUGUAUUGAAAAAAUGCAUUUUGUUAUACUGAAAAUUAUAUUUAAUCCGAUAAUAUUCAGGUUCAAGUUAUUCAACAAGAGAACCACAUCAUCAGAGCUAAUGACAUCAAAUUAAUUAAUUAGCUGAGACAAACCAAUCCUCAACAUCGGAAAUGCUUAAAUGCACGACAGGCUUUGUCGUGUGACUUGCACGACUUUGUAUUCCAUUUAUUGCUAUUUCAUAUAUUUUUAUUUAUUUUAAUUAAAAUUUAAUUAUAAAAAAGGGAGUGAAGCCACGUAUUGGUCGUGUGGUUUCGUGGGCAGGAAAUUGUCGUGUCCUUUAGCAUUGUUCCCUCAACAUUUGCAUUCACAUUACGUUAAACGCAAGUUCCAACUCCAUAUAGAAUAAUUAUCUUUCUGCAUAAUAGACAUAACUAUCAUAAAAUGAUAAGUCACAAGUUCAAGCAAAGCACCAGCCCAUGACUAAGUCUAAGUUAGACGGAACAUAUUCGGCCAAUAUCGUUGUUAAUUCAUCUACAUGAUUAAUCAUAAUUUUCAAUGUGAUUUAAAUUAAUAAUUAUUUAAUCAACUGAAUUAAUCGUAUUUUUGCACAUGAUUAAUAAGGUGUUGUAGGUGUACGAAAAAAAUGGAAGUCCAUAAAAUAUUAUUGUUUUUGAAAAAUGAUUAAUUUUCAAAACAGUUGCAAUUGAAUUUUUUUUUUUUAAGGAUCACAAUUGAGUUAUGAACUCUUUCGAAAUAAUAAAAAAAAAAUUAAAUAUUUAUAAUAAUUCUUUUUUUAUUUAUAAAAUUGAUUCUGCUUUUAUAAAUCUUUCUUUUAUAAUUCAUUUUUUUAAAAAAGUUAUCUUUUUGUCUUAAGAAAUAAAAGGAAAAUUAUAUUAUUCUCUUUUUUUUAACAUAAAGAAAUUAUAAAUGUUCUAUAUUAAAAAAUCUUGCUUAAAAAAACACGAUAAUAAAGUGAAAAUAUGAAUAAAUUAAUAAUUAAUUAAUUAUAAUGAAUAUCCAAAUUUGUUCCCAGAGAAUAUGGUGGUUGGUUAUUUUUGUUCAUUGUACACAAUAUUUUUAUCGAUGCAUUUGUCAUUGUCUUAGUAAAAAAAUGACCCGAUUAUUUGUAUAAUGAUAAGGAUCCUCAUCAUAACAUAUUAUGAUGACUAUCAUUAUACCUUAAGAAAAAAUAUUAUUAUGAGAAUCUCGUAUAUUAAAGUUUUUCCAAAUAAGCAUCGACAUUUAAUUUUGUUACCAAGAAAGCUUUGAUACCAAAAUAUGAAAAGUGGAGGUUUUGAAAAAAAAAAUUAGCACUUAAAUAGACCAAUAGGGAUGCAUGUUACUCUGUGAGGCAUAGUGCCUUCUCACCAAUUGAAGAAAAUCUAGCUCCGAUGGGAACAUCUCCUGAAGACGUUGGGAGAGGGAAGGAUGCAUUGGUUCAUCCCAUAUGGGAUUGUGGAAGCCCGUUGUAUGACUCGCAUGAGUUGGUCUCGAUUGUUUAUACAAUCGAGAGGCAAAUGAUGUUGUGGCCGAGUUAUGAUGGGCUAAAACGGCCAAUCAUAACCCAGUUCAUGGAUACAGAGAAAGAAACUUCAAUCCGACAUGUUUCGAAAUGUUCUUCUGUGGUAACAAGUUCUAGUGAAACUUUCACGACGAACAUGUGGCUGAAGAAGUUGACUAGCCAAGGGAUCAAGAAGAAGCACAGAAAAAUGAAAGGUCGCUUUUUUAGAUUGGUUUGCGGAUGAAACAUGUUUUAGUCACUUAUGUGAUUUUGAUCUCUGUCUUUGAAAUUGUUACUAUCCAAUAAAAGAAAUCAAUAAACUAUACACACAUUAAUAAUUGAUCUCUGUCUUUGAGUCUAUUUUUGUUGUGUUUAACAUUUUUUCCCUCCUGUAGUUCUGAUCCGUUCAGCAUAAAAACUUCAAAUGUAAUGUGUUUUGCAAUCAAACAACUUGAAAAAAACACGACCGACGGUAAAUGAAUAGUUCAAAUUAUUUGAAUCUUUCAUAUUUCAUUUGAUGUGUUGCAAAUUGUGCAAUUAAAAAACAAGUUUGACAGACUAGUUUGCAUAAUUUUGUUUUGGGAUAGAAUUAACCAAAUAUAUGCCUCUUACUAUAGUUUUUAGUUUUUACAAACACCAAAUAAAAAAUUCACCAACGAAAAAAACAACUUACACAUUUCAAAUAUUAAAAAAUGAGCACAAUAGAUACUCGUUCAUAACAAGACUAUCUCAUAAAUUUUGAGGUUAUUCCCAGUCGCUCACUUUACAUCGGUCAAAAUACACUUAUCAAAUUUUCAAAUAAAAUACACUAUCGAAAGCUUGUUCCAGUAAAAAGCUGCAUUUUCAGGGUGUAUUGACGAAAAAUCACCAAAUUUUAAUAUACGCUAUUAAAUGCUUUCAUGCCGUUAAUAUAUGAGAUUAAAUGUGUUCAUUACUCCCUUCAUUUGUAAUUACAAGACCAUUUACAAACAAUUCUUUGACCAGAAUAUAAAGAAAGAAUCUCCACAUACAAAUGCAUAUAAAUGAAUUAUUGAAUGGCUUCAUACUUUAUUUGACAGAAUACUGAAUUAAAUGCCUUCGUACUUCUUUUUGACAAACAAAAUGCCUUCGCACCUAGAAUGUGAUAAGAUGAACAUUUUUUGUAUUUUUUUCCUUUCGAAUUUUUACUUCUCAGUUUUUUUGUCCUUCUUUGGUAAAAAAAUGUAUAUGCCUCAUCAGAUAAAACCUUCAAAUCUAUCACAAAAAAUAAACCUCGAAAAAUAUACAUACUUUUGUCAUUUUAAGAGUAAAUAUAUCAAGUAAAAGGGUGAAAAUUUCUCAGAAAUAAAAAUAAAAUGGUGAGGAUGAGUUUUCGAAAUUAACUCCCGGCGUGGAUAUUUUCAACCAGAAAUUCAGAAAGUUGAGGUUUAUUAGGAAAAACACGGGAUGGUAAAAAGUAAAUAACAACCCAUCUUCAAAUUUUCCAUACAUUUGUAUAGCCUAAUAAAAGUAAGAGUUGUACAAUUUGGAUGCAUCGUAAGUAUUAAAAAAGACAGUUAUUUUUUACAUCCUAUAAGCUUCCUGCGUAAUACUUUCUGUUUAAAAUCUAUAAUUUGAAAUAGGUUGUAGUUAUUUUUGGAUUGUGUAAUCUGAAACAUAGCAAAUUAAAUAGAAAGUGUGUCAUAAUUGAUAUCAAAGGUCUUGGCUGUCCGUCGUACAAUCCCCGCAUAAACUGCAAAACAAUUUCAGAGAUUAUAUGAGCGAUCGGCAGUAACCAUGAUAUCAUAAACACUCCUAACUAAAAAAGAGAAGGAAAAAGUACGAAAGGAUGAGAAAUGAAGAAUGAAUGGAGUAUGUUGAAGCAUGCAAGACUAUUUGUAACCUUAAACCUAUCUUAGAUUGUAACUACAAUCAAAGGAAACAUUUGCAAUGCAUAAACCGACUAAAAAGAGUAGUGCUAGCAACACUCUCUUUUGAACACUCUCUCUAAUACUCACUCUCUUGUUGGUUUAAAUUAUUGUGAGUAUACACUUUGGAAAUAGAACCCAUAGAAAGUGGUGGGACAUGCAUGAAUUCCAUUCAAUAAAAGAGUGAGUACUAGAGAGUGUUCAAAAGUGAGUGUUGCUAGCAUUCCACCGAAUAAAAAUACAUUAAACACGUCACAAAUCGUCCAAACCUUUGGUGCAACACCAUCGUCCACACAGUCUGGGAUGGUUCGAAUUUUAUAAUCUGAAACUCUCAUAACAUUUUCGGAUUAUGUAAUAUGAAUCCUUUCAGAGUGUGUUUAAGUUUGAUUUUUGGAGGGUUUUCAUGGUGAAUAACAUAGAAAAAAAAUACAAAACAUAAUUUAAUGACGUAAAACAACAUAAUAAUAGAAGUGGUGAUGAAAGGGAAGGUGUUCGAAGAUGUGAUUUUCUACUUGAUCCAGCUGCCCUACCAACUGACAUAUUUCUAUUGUCAUGGCAACAAGAUCUAGCUCAUAAUAGCCUCAUGGUGUUCAUAUCCUUCAAAUGAUUUUUCAAAGUUUUUUAUUAUGUUUUACAACAAAUAAAUUGAGCAGACUAAUUUAUAGAAAUUUUUGUGCGUCGUAAAACACAUAAAUUAUCGAUGCAAUGUGGACUACAAAUAAACAUGUGAUGAACUGAUUCAGAUUAUAUAAUUCGAACGUAACUUGCGCCUUACAAAACAUGAGUUUUAACAUAAUAAGUUUAAUUUGAGUAUCGUACGAUAUAAUAUGUCCCAAAAGUACACGCUAGCUUUUCCAAGAUAUUAAUCAAUGCCAAAAUUGUUAGCACCUGUUGAUCAAAUUUAGUUGUAGUACUGCUAUACUCCAUUCUAGAUGGUUAGGAAGUUGUCGUAAGACUUUAAUUUGGUCAAUCUUGACUUAGAUAAAUAUGAUACGAGUAUGAAGAAUUGAAGGUGUCAAAAGUAAUUAAGAAGCUUAUGACCAAUCCCUUGUGUGCAAAAUAAAUUAACUAUUUUUUUUUGUUACAAAAUAAAUUAACUAUUCGCUAGCCAAAUGUUCAAGAUAAGGGGGAAAAAUAGGGAGGAGAUUCACUUAUCUGAGCUCAAAAUUAUAGACCAAAAGUUCCUCCAAUCAUUUUUUUUCUUCCAAUUUUAUUCUCGAAGUUUAAAGAAUUUUUUGCACAUCAUAGGAAAAAUUAUUUUUACCAUUAAACUAAAGAGGAGCAUAAAUUUUAUGAUGAUCAUAGUAUAUUGUAACACUCUAAUUCCCGACGAUAAUUAUUAAAUAAUAAAAAUAUAUUUAAUAGAGAGGAUGUUACAAAUUCAUCAUUAAUAAUAUAAAAGCAUUAUCACUUCUUUUUUUAUAGUAAAGAUUGUCAAACAGAGGAAAACAAUUCACUGAUUGUAUUAAUAAGAUUAUUCACGUUAUUUAGCAUCAUAAAAGGAAAGUAACAAAGUUUUCAAGAUUCAACUCAAACUACAAUUAAAAAUUAAAUCACCAACCCCACCCUAGUGUUACAAUAUCAGAGCUCGUAGCGACUACAACUUAUUCAACUACUAAAUAACAAAACCAAACGGAGGGCAUCCCAUCAUCUCCAUCCUCUAAAACGUCCCACAUCUACUCCUUGUCAACCUGAGUAUCUGUACUCAGGGUAUAGUCACCGUACAGAAAACAACACAACAAAAUAAGGGGUGAGAAAUCCUGCCAUAACAAAAUAACAGGGAAAAGCAUGCACAUUAAAUAAAUAUCAAAAGAAUAUAGUCUCCACUAUCUCAUCAUUCUCAACAGUUACUAUGUAUAAUCUCUUCAUUUUACAUGUCAGAGCAACACAUCAUAUUCACACUAAAACACCCAAUAUAACAUCAAUGCAUAUGGACUCUUCUAAUGACCUAUAUGACUGUGGUACCACACCUAUCGUCAUAAUUUGCCAGAAGUAUGUUACUUGACUUUCAUCGUCAUAAUUUGCCAGAGAUAUGUUACUGGACUUUCAUCGUCAUUUCGUCAUCAUGAUUCCUAGACACGACUCUAUAUGCAUGCAUGAGACAGACUCUUCAGGUAUUAAAAGAUCAUAACAUCGUCAACAAAUCAGAAUCAUAAAUUCAGACUCUUCCUAUUAUGCACGACAUCAAGACAAACACAUCAUCAUCAUAAGUAAACAUCGUCAUUCUCAUCAUCAAUGUAUAUUAGACACCAUCAUUUAAGUCAUCAUCAUAAUUAUACGUCAUCAUUCUCAUAGUCAAUACACACACACACACACACACACACACACCACCCUCAUCAUCGUCAUAGAUAAACAUCAUUACUCUCAUCAUCAUACUGAAAUAGUUAUCGUCAUCCUCAUCAUCAAUAACAUAUAAACAUUAUCAUUUCUCAUCGUAUUUAUUUAAUUACAUAUAUAUAAUAUCUUCGUCAUCACUCUUCGUCACAUUAUAGAUUCCUCAUUAUUCAUCUCUAUCAACCGUUUAUAUCACCAUUGUAUCUCUUCACUAAUCCAACCCUUACGCGUAAUUCAAUUCUACGUCAACUUCCCUAUAUUUUAUUUUAGUAUUCAUUUUACGAACAUACAUUAUUCUCUCAUCUAUUCUAGGCUCUAUGAACUUUAUUCCUAAUAUCAUACCCUAUUCCUCAUUCUUGGUCUCAAGUUGUUUUCUUAUUUCGCUAUCAUUAAAUGCAAAUUCUCCGCUAUCAUUAAACCUAUAUAUAUAUAUAUAUAUAUAUAUAUAGGUUUUUCCUCACAAUUGUUAUUAACUCUUUCCUACUUAUUCUCCUCAAUAAAACGACUUUAUAUCUUAUUACUUGUUCUCGUUCGUCGUCAUCUAUACACCGUCCUUCCCCUAAUCUUAACUUCAUUUUAAUUUUAAAGUUAUCAUCUAACCUAAUACUUCAUUAUAAUUCGAGGUUUCAUUCUCUUGAUAUCGGUCGUUAUUAUAUUUGUCACUCAUUACAACUACUACGUCUUAUCCUCUAUCCUAUGCAUCUUGCUCCCUGCUAAUCGAUCCUCUUCUUAUUCAUCGUUAUCAUCAUUCAUGUUAUGUUUUCAGUCCUUAAUAUACAACUCCUAACCUUCCCUUACAUUUCGUCUUAACGAUCUUCUCAUCGUUUACGAUCAUAUUCUUUAUUCAUUUUUUACACCUUAUACAUUGUCUAACAUCCCAUAUUAUCAUCGUCUUAUACCCUUUUUACUAAAUCGUGUGUUUUUAGUCUCACCACAUACCCACGCUAUUUGCUCUAGUAAUUUCUCGUCUUAUUACCCUUAAUCAACUUGAUAUCCUUUCUCAAUGAUAUUAUCAUCCCCUAAAUUACCCAAUGAUUUAACUCCUACUCAUAACAUAACCCACUUCAUCAUUUACUCGUCACCCUAAACAAGACAUGUCAUCGUCAUUACUCGUCAUUCACAAAACAUCAUUAAUUAUGAUAUCAUUCAUCCUCACCAUUCAACAAUUAUUAUCUGAACAUAGAUCCUCAUCACACGACAAUAACUUCUCACCAUUAAUCAACAUCUUAUACGAGCAUAUGUACACAUCAUAUUCCUUCGUUACUCGUUACUGCAUUUUAGAAUCUACUCUCGUCAUUCGUUCUCUCCAUUACUACGUCUUUCACCCUAGUAGUAUACCCCGUUAUCCAUUCUAAUUUAAGUAUUAACCUCUCGAUUAAUAUUCCUCAUAGCGUCUCCCGUAUUUAUAUUUCACUUUCUAUUUUCAAGCUAUCUUGACACCAUUAGAUUCUCAUAGGUUACUAUCCUCGGUUCCUAUUUAAGCUUGUUAUUAUUCUGAGUUAAUCACUUCUAAUUACGCUUAAACCCACUCCUUCAUUAUGUUAUAUAGUUUAGGGCCCUUACUUUUACCGUUCUCUUUAACAACCUUCUUAAACUCUUUAUUAUUUUCUAUGACGUUUUAAGGCUCAUUGAACAUAUUAUGCUGAAGUUUCACGAAAAAUGCAGCAUGACCCAGGUACGGUAAUUUAACCAUAACUCAAGUUGCAGAGGUAUGGUUGAGGUGAAACCAAAGCCAUUGGAAAGCUAACACACAUACCUAAAAUUUUCAUGUUUCGACCGAAAUCCAGUUCGGAACGGAAAAUGGUUAAAAACAACAGUUUUUGUUUGUUAAGUUGUGCUGACAAAAUCGGGGGCCGAAUUUACAAAAUUGGGGCCCGAUUUUUGUCGAAUCAAAACACUCAGAAAGGCGUUUUUCCCCAAUUAAUCACUUUUGAAUCACUUAACUCAAUCCCUACACACCCAAAUUGUCCUUAAUCAUCAAUCUAGGUUUACCCUACUAUUUAAGUGUUAAUUCCCUCUCAAAGUAUCCAAUUUUACACUAUUCCAGGGUCAAGUUCUGAACUCUAAUCUCUAAACUAGGUUCCCUUUAUAUUACUCUUUCAACAACAAUUCUACAUUCAUUCAUCAUAAUUUUUCAGUGGAACUCUUCCUCAUGACAGCAAUCAUAACUUAAGAAUUAAUUAACCUCAACAACGUCCUCAUCACCAUCAUAACAACACUCAUACUCUAACCCCUUUACAACCCUACAACAAAAUAUUAAACCCUAGAGAUGAAGAGAUUCUCCCCUUACCUCGAUUUCUUCUGAAAUUUCCAGCUUGGCUUGAUCCCGUCGCAACUAGGGUUUCUUCUCAUAUGCUUCUUUUUUCUUUCUUUUUUCACGUUCAACAAAAGUGACUCUUCUAACUUCUAAUGUUUCUAUUUAUACUUGGGUCAAUCACAUGUUAUAACUUUCUUCUCCUUUAUUCACUAUACUUUUACUCCUCCCCUCCCCCACUUAUUUAAAACUUAUAUUCUACACCUCCGACUUGUAUUAUAUUUACUUAAUUCUUCUCUUCAUCCUAUUAUCCCUAAUAAUACAUCACUAAUCCACAUUAUAAUCAUAAUAAACACGACUCCACCUAUUUAACCUCACAAAAUUAAUUAAAUAGAAAUUUGGGGUGUUACAUAUAUCACCCGCCAUCAUUGGGUAGCAUACUCCUUCAAAAAAAAAAAAAUAUUGGAUAGCACUUAGGUGCCUUUGGGUGUCUUCGUUUCUAUCUCUGUCAUCAAAAUAAUUUAUUUUAAUCAUUCAAUCAUCACUCCUUUUUCAUCUAAAAUACAUUAAAGUUACCCAACACAAAGUCACUGAAGUGUCCUCCCUCCUACACUCACCACCACCGCCGUGUUCCUUCAUCUCUCCAUCUUGGUCUUCAUUUUCAAUUCAUAGAAGAACACAAAAAUCAGAACUCAUGAAUUUGGGUAAAAUUGUUUAUCCAACAACUGAAACAACUUCAUAUUCACCCUUUCAUUCUUUCUCUCCCAUUCAACUAAAACUCUGAUUUAGAAAUUGAGAUCUGGACAACCACAAAUAUUGUAGCAUUACCUUAAUUUUCGUAAUAAUAGAACUAGUAUGCCUAAUCAAUUUUAUUUUAUCACCAAAAACGUCCUAUUAAUCAAAAUAAUAGAGUACUAGUGAGUUACAAUCAGAAGGAAUUUAUGAAACCCAUAUAAAUGGAAAAACUAUCAUUUUUUGGCAGGUAUGAAGAAAAAAAAACUAUCAUGCUACAAAAACAAACAUAAAUAUAGGAUUGGGUUUUUCAAUUGCAACACAUGGAGAUUGUUUUUGAAUUGUUCUUUAAUUUUAAUUUUUUUUUCAAGAUUUUUUAAGCACAACAGGAUGAAGAUGGAAAUGUGUUGUAGUUUCAUGGAGGUUGAAGAUAAUGAGUUUAAAGUAAUAGGUGGCGAUGGGUGAAUUGCACAUCUACUGAUAUUAUGUGAUGGGGAAAAAUAUAGGAAAUAAAAUCAAGAACGGUGGAGAGAGAACACUCAAACCAGUGAUGUGGAAGUGUGUAAAAUUUUUAGUGCGGAGAGAGUAUUAGAAGGGUGUGUUAUUUUUUGAAAGAACACACCCUUGUAAAAGGGUGUGUUAUUGAUUUGAUCUGAAGGUUACAAUAAAUUUUUUAUGGUGGAAUUUUUUUAGCGUUUCUCAUGUUAAAUGUCACCAUAAAGAUGUGCAAAAUACACUUUUCAGUUUUUUUAAACAUAGUUGCGUUAUUAUCAUAGUUUAUAGGUGGCAUUUAAGGUGGGAAUGGGAAAUAGUUGUUAAUUUUACAAUAUUCUCGGCAUACUAGAUUUUUUUAUUAGUCAAUUUAAAAAAUAAAAAAAAAUAGAAUUGAGAAAGGUUGUUAAUCUCCGAUCAUCUUCCCCAAAUACCCAAUCUUCGCCGGCGACACAAUCUCCAAUCAACUUCUCAACAAAACUUCGAUUCAUGCUCCAGUUUACUCCUCUGUUCAAACAAUACUCCCUCCUUUCGUUGGUGCCGCAAACAUCACCAAAAUCCGACCAAUCGUUUCAGAUUAUAAUACCAGAGAUCCACUCGUCAAUGAUGGAUUGAAGUGGAUAGUCGCCCAUAAACUCACCACCACUUUUACCAUCGACGACGACAGCAUAUUUGCGCACCAUCGCAUCUCAAAUUACUACUUUUCCCUUGUCAAAAAGGCAAGAUCUUGGAUCAGGAAAGCAAGCUCUUAUAUCAGAGAAUCUCCUUGCUCAUAAAUUCACAAAGAACAAGUUCCUUUACAAUUCAGUUGCAAACAUGACCGAUGAGCAAGGAGCAAAUUCAAUCGCAACACACUAAAAAAUGAGUCAUCUGCUGCAUUCGCAUUUGCAUUGCAACUUCUUCCAAUUCGUGCUGCUUCUUCUGAUAUUAUCGAUGGUCAAAGUGGUUGUGGGUGAUGUUGCCGGUGGUGGUGGGCAUAGAGAAGAGAGAAGGAUGGGUGGGUGAGUGAGGUUGAAGAUAAAGUGAAAAAAGAUAUGAUGUGGACAGACUAUAAUAUGAUUGGUGUUCCUCUUUGAUCUAAUGAUUUAAAAAAUAUUUUCCAUAGUGAAAAACUUUUUCCCCUUCCCACCCUGAAUGCCACCUAGUUUAUAAGUGAUUGUUAAGUUUGAAGGUGAGAANNNNNNNNNNNNNNNNNNNNNNNNNNNNNNNNNNNNNNNNNNNNNNNNNNNNNNNNNNNNNNNNNNNNNNNNNNNNNNNNNNNNNNNNNNNNNNNNNNNNGUAACAAGUUCUAGUGAAACUUUCCCGACGAACAUGUGGCUGAAGAAGUCGACUAGCCAAGGGAUCAAGAAGAAGCACAGAAAAAUGAAAGGUCGCCCACGUGGGGGGGGGGGGGGGGGGGUUGAAUUGUGUUUUCUUUUUCUCUUUAAGAAAUCUUCUUCUGGUAUUACUUCAGAAGCUAGUUGAGAGUGCUUCUGAUGUAAUGUUCAGAAUCAGAUAUGCAGCGGAAUAAAACAGAGCAGAGAAAAGAAAGAGAGACACAAGCAAUUAUCCUAGUUCCUUUCACAAACCGGAAGUAGUCCAGUCCCCCUUGCACUUCCAAGGAGAUUUUCACUAAUAAUCACACAGAUUACAAAUGCUCAAUACUCUCUAAGUAUGAGACUUCUCAAAAUGCUCAAGCACGCAGGCGAGGGACUUCCAAUGCUCAAGCACUAAAGCAAGAGUCUUCUAAUGCUCAAGCACGCAGGCAAGAGGCUUCUAAUCAAACAGAAUUACACAGAAAAUGUUUGACUUUGAACACUUGAUAUACAAUCAAUGGUGUUCACAAUACAAUGCAAUAAAGACUCUAGACUUAAGAAUUUCUAAGAUGUAUCAAAUCAGUGCAGAAAUUCAAAGUGCUUUGUAGAAUCAAAUUUUUGGCAGAGUUUUGGCGCUUUUAACUUGUGUUGAUGUCUCUUGCCAAUCUUCAAGUCUUCACUCCUUUAUAUAGUGGUGAGUAGAGAGACGUUGAGAUUUUUAGCAUGUCUAAAGAGUCGUUGAGUUCCUUUGAUCAUCCACUAGUAAUCUUUUGCCUGAUUUGGGUGUAGUCCUAUGAAGGAUCCACUGUUGUCUUGUCUUGUAGCGUAGACAAAAAACAGAGUAGUGGAGGUAGCGGUUGUACACUUGUACUUUGUCAACUCUGAUAAAGAAGGACAAGCACCCAGUGCUUUUCAAAUGACCGUUGAUACAUCCCUUUUAAUUCUUCGUUCUCUUAGACGAGGUUGAAACGAAAAACAGCUCCUUUGAAACUUCAGUUUAAAUUUACUGAGCAAUUGUAGCUUCUGGUGAUGAUAUAGCUUCUGAUGAAAUCUUGCUUCUGACGGACUUCUGCUUCUGAUGAACUUUUGCUUCUGAUGACGUCAUUACUUCAGAGGCACUUGUUACUUCAGAAGCACUCCUAGCUUCAGACACAAUUUUCUUCAGAUGCUUUAGAUUCCUUUGCUCUCCAUUGUUCUUCCAAGACCUAUUGAAAUUGAUUAACUUUGCCUAUGGUCCUGUACACUUGAACAAAUAUUAGCAAUAACCAAUUGACAAUUUUUAAUACCUUAUUAUCAUCAAAACUUAUUAAGGUUUAUUGUAAAACACAUUUUGUUCCAACAAAAUUGAUGAUUGUGGAUUUGGAGUUAUAGAAUUAUGACACCUAAUCUGUUAUACUACAACAAUUAAUUAUCUCAACAAUAUAUUUUAAUAAAGAAAAUACUAACUUAUAUUCUUGGAGCACAAGUUUAUGUUUUUUAAGAAGUAACGAACCUAUGAGCUUAGGGCAUUUCUAAAUUAAUAUUUUAGUUCAUUUGAGCUAAACAUUAUAAACGAUUCACUUAUUAAAGAAGUAUCUAACCUCUGAAAUGGAAAUUGCACCAUGUUAUUUUUUUGGAAUAUUGUAUUAUUUUAAUUUAGAUCCUGCUAACAUGUGUUGUUUUCCUUUUUACAAAGCUAACAUGUGUCUGUCCCUUCCUUAAAACAAAUAGAGUAGUAUUAUUUCAACAACUUUUUUGGUAUAAUUUUUGGGACAAUUUUAUUAUUUUCUCUUCUUAUUGGUCAAUAAUAAUAGAGAGAAAAAGAAAGAAAAAGAAUAAGGAGAUAAUAUAUGUACGAGAGAAAAAGUUGUAUAAAAAUUGUAAUAAAAUGGUUGUACAAAUAUCAUUUCUUAAAAAAAUAUGUGUUUGUCCCGUGAACUUAGUAAAACAUAUUUUUUAUACGUGUAGAUUUUAUAUUUAAAGUCAAACAUAUUUUUUUGGGUACAAAUAAAACAUUUGAUAAUAGAAGUGUGUAUAAAUAAGUUUCUUAUACUGAAUAAAUUAAAUCCUUAUCUAUAUAAUAUAAGAAUUCAAUCAAACAAUAUUUUGUAGGCGUAACAAUCAAAUAAAGUUAUGAAAUGAACCAGUACGUAAGCUAAAUGCAUGAUGCGUAGAAUAAUUCAACUCUGUUUCUAAGGUCACCUUUUCUUUUAUAACUAGAACAUAAAAAAAUUUCACCAUACCAAUUAUUUGUCCCUUUCUCCAUUCACUUGCGUUUAUUCUCUUGAUUGUAUGUGAUUUUCGAUUGACAGUAAAUAAUAAUAAUCCAUCCGAAAUCGAAAUGUGCACUAAUAAUAAUAUAAGAAAGUGAAAUUAUUUAUAAUAUGAAUUAGUUAGCUGGCCUGGAUAGCGAUUAAUCUAAAAAUACUGUAAGAAAAGGGUAGCAAUAACAAAAGUCAAAGAAUUGUUGUGGACGACAAUAUGAUGAUAAAGAAAAUGAAUUAACUUUGGACGAUAGAUGGAAGAUGCAUGGACAUUGAUCCAUCCAUAUAUACGUAAAUCCACAUUUGCAAAAUAUCAAUUUACAACAUUUAAUUGCAUAACUAGUAAACUUAAAAUUAAAACGAUGAAAUCGGUUUUUGACCGUAUCAAACAGAAAAAGCAAGAAAACAAGGCGUACCAAUACAAAUAUUAUUAUUAUUAUGCUGCUGCCUGCUGGGUUGUAUGUAUGUGGAUGGAUUCAUGAUUCACUUAAGAUUAAAAAAGUAGAAAGUACUAAUCAAUCAAUCAAUGACAAGGCAAUGUCAUUCCAAUUCCAUUGAAAAAAGUUGCUUAUUGAGAAUUGAGAAGUGACGACUACUUAGAGGAGAACAGAACAGGUCACAGAAAUAACUAUACCUUCAAUUUCAUUCAACUUGGCUUAUCUUAGCUUUUUUGUGGUUUUAGUUUCACUUUCAAAUUUCCUAAAACAUAAACUUAUGCCCAUUCCCAAUGCACAUGUCCAUUAGUGACCUAGCUAGCUAACAGAUAAAAACGAAUCCUUCCAACGACGUCGUUUAGUGAAUGAGUGCUUUUGGAUACAAUUAUUUGGUUCUUUUCCUCGUUCGCAUAGGACCAAGUACGCUACUACAACUACCUCGGAAAACGGUCCUCUUUUUCUGUUUUCGUAAUUUUUUUAUGUUUACUAUGGGAAAAAAAGUUUAGCUAAGUUGAUCCCAAACUCAUCAUCAUACUUAAGAGUUAAGACAUACUAUAUCAAUGAUUCUAGAUCUGUUAUAGAUAUUCUUGUCUACUUAUCUCAGUUGAUAAGAACAAGAUAUAAUAUACUCCCUCCGGUUUCAAAUGUAGGGAAAAAAAAAAGCACACCAAUUAAAAAAAUGAAUUGGUUACAUUGAAGUCAUGAUAAAAAAUGUACAACUUUUCAAUUUUGCCCUUGUCAUGUUUUAGUAAUAAUUAAUGAAAGUGACUUUUGAACUCAUGGAGAUAGGGUAACAUUGGAAUAGUAGCAUUUAUUAGGUUGCUUUUACUAUACUUUUUCUUACAUUUGAGACCACAAUUUUUUUUGUUUUUUUCCCUACAUUUGAGACCGGAGGGAGUAUGUAAGAACCGGGGUUCGAGUCCCGAACACCAAAAAAGAAAAAAUUCUCUUACAAAUGUAUUUACAAAUAAUCCACGGUAAAGUUCGACAAUAAAGUGCUUCAAUUAAUUAUUAUGCAGUAUCAAGUGAAUUAACUUCUUAUCAACUAAGUGUGUGUGUUUAGUUGUACAGCGUCCAAAUGGGCGGAAACGCAAAACUAUGUAGGAGCUUGCAAUUGUAACUUCACAAAAAUCACAUCAAAAGUGCGUUGGAAGUGAAAAACAUGAUGCAAACUUCGAUUCAAACACACUAAGUGAGUGAAACUAUACAUUUGCAUGUGAAAAUCAAAAACAACAAAUCCUACCUAUAUAAGUAGAAUCAAAUCUAAACCAAACAUAUCAGAAUCAAUUUUAUACUUUGAUGAUGAAUUCCAACCCCUCGAAAAAGUGAAACCAAACCUACACUAAAUCAAUAUUUCCAUUUUAAUUUUCUCUCUUUCUCUCUCAAAAACCCAACAGUACACAUCACAUACUCUUGUGCAUUAGAAUUAAAUUGAGAGUUGAAUUGAAUUAAUUAAUCUCCUCACCAAACUCUAAGAUUGAGAGAGGAAAAUCUGUUCCCGUUCCCUAACUGAUUCUUAAUAACCCAACUCAACCCACUCCACACACUAUUUUUGCUUUCUGUUAUUUGGAUUCUGAGAAUAAAAAUAAUUAAUGAUAAGAAAGAAGGUGAAGCAUAAGCAAAAGCAUCAGCAUCAGCAUCUGCAGCAAAAGUAAAAGCAAAAGGAGGAACUUCUCUUUCUCUUUUCAGUUUUCUCUCUCUUUCUUUCACCGUUUUUGUUUGUUUUUUUCACUUUGUUGAAAAUCUAAAGAAGUAAAGCGUUGCUUAACAUCACCUUCGACACUUCUCUUUCUAACGUUGUUGUUGUUGUCUCCUCCAAGAAACCAAACAUUCACUUUUGACCACAAAACAAGACAAUCACUGAAACCGCACUGUUUUUUUCUCUUCUUCCUCAUAUGCUUCUGCUUCUUCAAGGUUUCUAAAUAAUGACUGAUUCUUCUAAGUUGCGUUUGGUUCGUUGCCCCAAAUGUGAAAAUCUACUUCCUGAGCUCGCUGAUUACUCUGUUUAUCAAUGUGGUGGCUGUGGUGCUGUUCUUCGAGGUUUGAAAAUUAUUGAAUUUCCUUUUAUACCAUUCAUUCAUUGUUAGUAUCUAUUUUCAUAACCCAUUAUGUAUUUUAAUCUCUUUCAUUCAAGUUUUUCUAUUUGCUUAUUAAUUUUUCAAUUGUAGAAAUUAGAAAGUGCUUUAAUUGUGCUGAAAAACAAGAACUUGGUGAAAAGGGUGUUUUUAGUUUCUGAUUAUGUAGUUGUCUUUUUCUUUUAAAUUUUGCAGCAAAACACAAAGGUUAUGUGAGUGGUAGUUUAUCAGAUGAGGGUAAAGUUGUUGGAGAAGGUUCUGGAAAAUUAGAGAAAGGGUUAGUUGAUUUUAGUGAUACUUCAAAUGUUGAAUCCAAAAGUGGUCCCUCUAGGUGUGAUAAUGAAAGGGGUUCAGAUAAAACAAACGAGAUAAUUCCAAAUCAAUCUGAUGAGAAAGGGUUUUUUGAAAACGACAUUGAUGUCAACAGAAACAACGAUGAUGAAGUGGAUAAAGCAAUGGAAAGACAACAGGAGGAACCUAAGGCUCAAAUUGAUCAAGAAAAUGGGUCUAAAUUCUCUGGUAGAGUUUCUAAUUUGCAAAAUGGAGAGAAAACUUAUAUGGAGGGUUUUCGGAGAAAGCAACGAGUUGAUAUGGAAAGUGUGAGAUUUCCUAGUUCUAAUUAUCCCGAUGAAGGACCUUCAAAUGGUUAUUCUGGUUUUUCAAAUAGCUAUAAGGAAUUAUGGAGGAACGAUAAAGAAAGAGAUGGUGCAAAUAGGGUUCAGCACCUUGAGCAAGAUCGAGCCGAGCUUCUAAGGAAGCUGGAUGAGUUAAAACACCAGCUCAGUAAGUCUUCUGAAGUGGUCAACAACCCGAAAGAAAAGUUUCUUCCUGAUGAAAGGAUGAUUCCUCCUGAUCCUCAUCCGUUCGGUGGCUCGGAUCCCUGGUUUCCCAAUGGACCGUCAGGAUUAAACAGGACUUCGAGGCAAUUUUAUGGACCAGAUAAACAUAUGGCAGGUCCACCUCAUGUCAAUUUUCAUCAUGAUCCGUAUCCUUAUAUCGGCGGUCAUGAAACGGCUAUGCCCAAUUUUCAUCCUUCAAUGCAAAAUCCAAACCAAUAUGGGGAUCCUUUUGCAUCCCAAUUGUUGAGGAGAGGUCCACAUCAGUUCUCACAGCAACCAUUGCAUCCGUACUUUCCUGGACGUUAUGUUGAUCCUAAUCCAGAUUCAUAUGAACUGUAUGCGCAUAAUAAUAAUGCAAUGCUUCACCAGCCUUCUUGCUCUUGUUUCCAUUGCUAUGACAACAAAAGAAGAGGCUCAGUGCCGAUGCCGCCUCCUUCAUUCCCAAAUGAUCCUUCUAUGUUAUAUCAUCAUGAGAUCCCAGGGGGAUAUGGUUCACAUGUUCAUAAUUCUAAAGCUUCCAUUCCUCCUGCACGUCUUCGUGAAAAUCAAUUACAUACAAGAUGGCCUAGUGACUUCAACUCUGAGAUGGGUGGUUUUACUCGAAACCGUCAUCGGAAGGUAAUGGUAGCUAGUAGUAGCAGGCGUUGCCAUCCUGUAGCUGGUGGGUCACCUUUCAUCACAUGCAAUAAUUGCUUCGAGUUACUGCAACUGCCUAAAAAGGCACUUGUUCUUGCGAGAAAUCAUCAGCAGAAAGUGCGAUGUGGAGCCUGUUCUUCAGAAAUCAGUGUUUCACUCAUCAAUAAGAAGCUGGUUAUAUCUCAUUCAGAAAUGAAGGGAGCUCCCUCAAGGGUUGAUGAUAGCUCUAAUGAGGUUCUGAGUAGCCGGGUAUCACAUACCCGUGGUCUUGCAAACAGGAACGGUGCCAACUUCUCAUCUGAUGAUUAUUCUGGAUAUGAUUUUCUCUCGGUAGAUAAAGAACCACUUUCAGCGGUUGCUUUGAACUCUAACAAGUCGCAGGAGAUGCAGAGUUUUCAUUCUUCAUCUCCUAGUACCUCCGAAGAUGAAAAUAGUUCAGAAGCGAUGAUUGCUCCAAGGGAGGCCUUGAAGUCCAUUCAUCGGCCAACGACAGAUUCUCUAUCUCCUCCUUCGGGUUCAUCACCUCUACAAGAGUAUGUUGAUCACUCUAAUAGUAAUCGCGCUGUAAAUCGGUUUGGAAAAGGCAACCGAAGUAGUCGAUCAGAGCAGGAGAAGGCAAAAUUGGAAAAGAUUGCAUCGCGUCAAAAUUCUUUGAAAGAAACAGCGGUUGCAACAGAGAUGGAUGUCCAUGAUUAUUCUAACACUGGAGUCUCCCAGGAUUCCAGAGAUGCUAGCCGAGAACAUGAUCAUCCUAGAUCUAAUAAAGGGGGUGAGUCAUUCUUUGCAAACAUAAUAAAAAAAAGCUUCCGAGAUUUCUCUCGAUCUAAUCAAAAUGAUGAUUGUGGCAAGAUUAAUGUUACUGUGAACGGGAAGCCAUUGUCAGAUCGUGUGGUUAAGAAGACUGAAAAACUUGCCGGACCAAUCCAGCCUGGAAAUUAUUGGUUAGUAUGCUUUACAGAAUGUUGUUUCCUGACGCCUUAUAUCACAAUUUUCCAAGAAAAUAUAGUUUCAUGUUGAUUGCUUAUACAGUCUGCUAACAUAUUUUCCUUUGUUCAGGUAUGAUUUUCGGGCAGGAUUCUGGGGUGUCAUUGGCGGGCCUUGUCUUGGAAUAAUUCCUGUAAGUUUUACUAUUCUAGCUCAGUCUAUUGGUUGUAUACUUAUAGACGCAGUUUAAUGAUAUUAACAAAAUGAGGCGAUUUAUCCUGCAGCCAUUUAUAGAGGAGUUCAAUCAUUGCUUGCCAGAGAAAUGUUCUGGUGGGAAUACUGGUGUAUUUGUAAAUGGUAGGGAACUUCACCAAAAAGAUUUAGAUUUGCUUUCUGGAAGAGGACUUCCCCCUGAUAGAGAUAGAUCUUACAUAAUUGAAAUUUCUGGGAGAGUCCUUGAUGAAGACACAGGAGAAGAGCUGGACUGCCUUGGCAAACUUGCACCAACGUUAGUACCGAGUUUUGUUGAUUUCAUUCCUGUUGUUUUAAUGCACUUUUGUUUCUAUGAAUUACUUGAAAACAGUUGAGAGAUUAAUUUUUUUGAAUCUUUAAGAACAUUCAGUUGGUAUAAUUUCUAAGUCUGGCUUUCGUGAUAAUUUUACAGAGUGGAGAAAGUGAAGCAUGGAUUCGGUAUGAAACCACCUCGAGCAGCUCAAUAAUCAAAACAUAGGGAUAAAUAUUCUUUCACAGGUUUGAGAAGGUGAAUGUUGUUCCAUCUUUCUGAAGAUUUGGAAACAUUAUCUGAUCAUAGCUUAAGCUUGAAUUUAGAUGACAUAUGUAAUGUGUAAAUUUUUAAUUUUUGUGUUUAAAAAAACCGCAUUAGAAGUUUUGUGCUUGAUAUCAGGUAGUUUUAGGAAAAUUUAAGUGGUAUCGCAAGUCAUGAAUCCAGUGUAGAAUUUGAUUUGUAAAAAUUAGCAAUUUAUUCCUUGAUCAGCUUGUAAUAGUUGUGUAUUUGCAAGUGAAUUUGGGAAAUAGAUCUUAACAUGAUAUAUGGAACAAGAUUACCGUUGAUUAUUCUAUAUGGUUUGCACGCAUUUAGAUUAGACAUACACAAAAAAAAAGCGUAAAUUUUUCACUUCUGUGUCAUACUUACUAUUAAGGAGGAGGGUAAACAAGAAUUAAGUGCGUGAUUCCAUCACCUAGUUUCAAGGUAGAAGUGAUCUUGUGCCAGUGAGAUCUUGCACCAUCAACUUGCUUUGUAAUUUUGUAAAUGAUUCUUGAUUUAUAUAAAUAUUUGAUCAACUAAGAGUAGUGUUGUGUGUUAUCCAACAUGUAUCUGUAGAGGUCAUAGGUUUGAUCCUCACCUCACUGGCCAUGCAGAUUGGAUCCUACAAAAAGAGUUAUGUUCAUUAUACAUUUUCCAAUAGACUUUAGUUAGAUGCAUUUAAAUUUUAAAACAAGAGAAAUAAGAUGAUUCAAAAUGCUAGUAAUCAUUAUAUAACUUUUUUUUUUUUGUAUUAAUCCUCAGUUUUUCAGGAGAAAGGAUUAUGACAAUUAACUAAUUACUCCCUCCGGUCCUUUAUACAAGAAACAAAAGACAUAAAACAUCAAGAUCAAGGAAAUACAUUGAAAAUAGUUAUCUUAUUUAAUACAUCUCUACAUUUAAAAAAUAUUCCAUGAAUACCCCUAAAUUAAUUAUUUUUUAUUUCAUCAACUUACUUACUUUUAAUAUUCUCACUCAUAAUAAAUAAGGACACAAAUGAAAUUUAGCUUCAAACAUACUUGAAACUUGGUCAAUAUUUCUUAUAAAAAGGAUAAAAAAAAAAUUCACUUUUGUUUCUAAUAAAAAGGACCGGAGGUAGUAUUAUAUUUAUUCUAAAUUUUUAUUUUAUAAGAUCCAAGCAUACUUUUAUUAUUGAUUUAAUUAAGGAUGAAAAUUAUAAGUUACUACUCUCUCCAUCCCAAACUAUAACUUGUUUAUCACUUAUGGCUCUGCUCUCUCUCAAUGGAUUAUGUCACUUUGACAUCUAUCCAAUGCAAACAUCAAACAGAGCCAAAUCUACAAGUUAAUGUCAUUAUAGCUCACAGAACAGAGCAGAGCAAGUGGAAUAAUGCAGAAAACACGUACUAGUACACCCCCUUUAAUCCUACUAAUAUCAAAAUGUCCCCUCUCUCCGAGAGACAGGAGAUGAUGAUAAUGCAGAAACACAAGCAUGUCUUCUUCCUUAAGUUUGGAGUGUCAUGAUGUCUCUUGGUCGGUCGGUCUAGCUUUUUGUUUCCUCUUCACCAAUUCAUUUGUGAUGCACACAAUUACUACUCCUUUUCAAAUAUUAAGGUGAACUGAAAUGUGAUCUAUUUGUGGGAGAUUGGGUACAAGUCCUUAUCUGGUCCAAUGGACGUCCUGAUUUGGGGUACCUUUAUUGGAGGUGGAACCCUAAGUUAAGGACUGUGAAUUACCAAAGUUCAAUCCAAAGAAAUUCCUUUACAUUAUGAGGAAUAAAUCAUGGGCCUUUUUUGGUGAUUCCAUCUCCCGCAACCAUGUGCAAUCUUUUACUUUGUAUUCUCUCACAGGUAUAUGAAUUUUGACUUUGUGAUGGCUGGUGGCAAAUGGUUUCUCAAGACAGCAGCAUACCAUGAAAACCCGUAACCGGCUGCCAUUACUGUCCUGGAAAGAAUUUAACAGAGCUUGGAUUUGAUUACGUGUACCGCAAAGCGCUUCAGCUUGUGUUUGAUUUUGUGACAAGCAGUAACCAUAAAGCUAUUGUUUUCUUCAAUGGAGAGUGGUUUAGUGGAGGAUAUUGCAAUAGGACAGUGCCUUUUAAAGAGGAUCUAAUUGAUAUCAAUGAUAUAGAUUCUAUCAUGAGAGAGGUAUUGAAAUUGAAAUGUUUAAUAAGGCCGCUGCAAUUUCGCGAGGUGAACACUUGAAACUUUUAGACACGACUUGGCUCUCAUUGUUGAGACCUGAUGGUCAUCUUGGACCGUAUCGCCAGUUUCAUCCAUUGGAAAAUGGUAAAGUACAAAAUGAUUGUUUACAUUGGUAUUUGCCAGGACCAAUCGAUUCUUGGAAUGAUGUAUUAAUGCAAAUGCAGUAAUUAUUUAUGCAAAUAUAGCACCAUCGAGUCUUCUUGCUACUUGAAUCGGAUUGAACAUCUAAUUACCACAUGAAAACAAGAUUAAACUUGGUGCGUAUUUUAUAUUACACUGAUUUGUCGAUAUCUCAAUAGUCACCUUGAUUUUGUAAAAGCUAUAAAGUGUAGCGCUUGCAAAAUCACUAUGACUUGUUAUGAUUCUGACAAACUCACCGCAAAUCUCAACAUAUACCGAAUUGAAAAGAAUCAUAUAAUCUUUGCAAUUGUGUGUGCAAUUUGAGUACAUUGGCAUAGGAAAACAAUGAAAUUAGGAGUGGAAUAACGCGUUUGGUAAACUAGGUAAAGGUAAUAUGUGUAGUGUGAAAUUAUGACAGAUAAUGAAAAAUGUAGGCAGCAUACAGCUUUUUUUAAUGAUUGAGAGGGAGGGGUAACAAACUACCUGACUUGGAUACAAACUACUUUUUUUUUUUUUUCUUUCUUUCAGUUAAGUAAUAUAUAACUAUAUAAACUGUUAGACGUGAUCUUCAUACAUUUUAAACUCUUGAUCCUUUGUCCCAAAAAAUUGUGAAAAAAUAUAAGUUAGAUACAUAUUAAUGGUCACUGCAUGCAAUAUGAAUAUGGUAAGCAACCCUUUAAAAGAGGGCAAUUACAUUUUUCAUUCUAUGAGUUUCUCGUGUGUCAUAUUUGGAUUUUAAAAUCCGAAAUCUUUUAAGGUGUUUUGAAGACUUUUAUAGAGUGUUUAUGUCAUUCGAAUUAUAUAAUCUGAAUUGUAUAGAGAACAAGAAAUCAAUCGAGUGGAAAAAGAAGGAGUCUAAAAGGAGAAAGUAGAACUGUCCCAAGGCCAAGUCUUUAAGCCUCAUUAUUUUGAACUUUGAAUCAAUUGUCAUGGACCGAUUGUUCAAAAAAUUGUCAUGGACCGAUGGUGUACAACUUGUUUAUACGUGUAUCCAAUUAAAUUGCACCAUAUAGACACGUUUAAAGUUAUUUUAAGAACUAACCUUAAAAGGUGACAUUAUGGUAUGAUUUAAUUGAAUGCGUGUAUAAUUUUUUUUUCACUAUAUCAAUAUAUACAAUUUAAAUUCUUAAACUUUAUACUCCUAUAUCUUUUUUAUUUGACAAAAAAAUAGUACUCCGUUUUUAAUUAUAAGCAAAUUUUACUUUUUAGAUUCAUUUAAUUAGUGAUGUAUGUGAUUCAUAAUAUAUACCACAUACAUCAUUAAUUGAAUGAACUUAAAAAGUAAAAUUUGCUUAUAAUUAAUAAUGGAGGGAGUAGUAUGUUUUCAAGUUUUCAAGCGUGGGUCUCUUUUAUAUUAAUAAAAAAAUAUGGGUUUAAUUUUUUCCUUUUGAAGAGUUUGGCGAAGAAACUAACACACAUUUAGUGCAAAAAAGUAGAGAUGUGUGAGUUCAACCAGGGUUCUAACAUAUCAAAUGCUUAUGCAAUCUUUUGUAUUUGAAAUCAGGGUUGGUCUUAAUAUUUUUUGUGUCCUAAGAGAAUUAAUAAAGUUGUGUCUUUUAAUUAUUUAAAUGUCUUUCUUCUUAUAUUUUUUGUUGUGAAAGAUUUAUUUAUAAUCAAAAUUAUCUAAAAAUAUAUAUUUUUAACAGAACUAAUCUAAACAAGUUAAAAAGAAAAAUAUGUAGUAUGUAACAUCAACUACAAAAUAAAAAUAAUAAUUUGAAUGUCAUGUAAAAAUUGUGUCCUAAACCGCUACCUCUCCCGCCCAUGCUCAUGUCACCCAUGUAUGAAACUAGAGGAUAUACUCAACAUAAUAUUAUGGAAUUAUAUGAAUUUUUGAAUUUUAUCUCUUUAUUUUUUCUUUCAAACUUUUAGUUCAUCGGUUAAGCUGACGUAGACUACUAGAUACAAGGUCAUUUAAAAAAGAAAGAUAUAUAUUCUUCUAUUUUCUCCCUACAUGCCCUAACAUAACAGUCAAAGAUAUUUUUCCUGUUUACUUCUUCUCUUUUAUUUUAUUUUCUUUUAAGUUCCAGUGUGAUUCCUCAAUCUUUAAUUUUAACUCAAUAAAUUCCUUAAAAAAACUCAAUAAAUAAAAGUAUUCCUAACUUUUUUAUGGGAAAAGUACUUCUGUCUUCUUUCAUUUUUCAAAUUUAGUUUUUAUGUGAAGAGAGCAAAGUUAAUGAUUCAUAUGUUGCAUCAUCAAUACAUAUAAGGUACCGGCUCUACGAGAUAAAUGAUUUUUAGAAAAAUUAAGGUAUGCGUACGUUAAAAAAUACAAUGAAAUGUCUUUCAAAAUUAUAACAUUUAACAUCAAAAUGUACAGGUAUCGUCUUUCGUAAUUUAUUACAUUACAAAUUAAAACAUACUCCCUCCGAUCCUUUAUACAAGAAACAAAAGCCAUAAAACAUCAGGACCAAGGAAAUACAUUGAAAAUAUUUAUCUUCAUUUAAUACACCUCUACUUUUUUCUUCUUCUUCAAGAAUACCCCUAAAUUAAUUACUCUUUAUUCCACCAACUUACUUACUUUUAAUAUUCUUUCAUAAUAAAUAAGGGCACAAAUGAAAUUUAGUUUCAAACAUACUUAAAACUUGGUCAAUAUUUCUUAUAAAAAGGACAAAAAAAAAAUUCACUUUUGUUUCUAAUAAAAAGGACCGGAGGGAGUACUUAGUAAAUAAAUAUAAAAAAUAGGAUAAAAAAUGAUAUUUAAAUAAUAGAAGACUAAGACUUGUUAUUUAUAAUUUUUUUUUUAACAAGCAAAAAUGAAAGAACACAUUCUAGUCAAAAUUACAAAACAAUUAGUGGAUACCCAUACAUAAUAGCGGGUUCGACCACCAAUUAUGAGUACCGAAAUUAAAGACAACAUUACUAGCUUUCAACCACCACAAGGAAUAUGAUUUUAUUUUAUCUAACAUAUGCGGUAGAGAGCAUUGAUUAUUUUUAUAAUUAAAAAUUGAGAAAGGAUAUACAAUAUAAUAGAAAAAGUAUUAACAUAAUAAAAAAAAGUUACCCUUCAAAAAUCAUAUUUAAAAACCUAAUUUUUUUUGGACAGAACCUAAUUAUAAUAUUUAUGUUUUAAGAGACAAAUAUAUCUGUGUAUUAGACCGCAAACACUUUAGUAAAAAAAAAAACCCUUUUUAAAUUUAUUGAAUAAAUAAUAUAUCUGAUUUACAUUAUCGAUAAAAUACAUCAGUUAUUCGUCAAAUUUAAAAAGUGUUUUUUUUUUUUUUUUUAUAAUAGUGGUCGGAGGGAAUAUUUUACAAAGAAAAAUGAUAUUUAAAAAUGUAUUUUGCAACCCUGUGCACAUAACAUAAGGGUAUUUUAAUUUUAUAGAAAUAAAAGAAAAAGAAAAAGAAUAUUUGUGUAAUAAAUUUGUGAUUUUUUUUUCAUACUCAUAUUAUAUUAAUAUCUAUUUUUUUUUUGUAAAUCUAUUGUUGUUCCGUAAAUUAUCAUAUAAAUAAUUGUCUAAAAUAACUCAAGAGUUUUUUGAGAACUAAUAUUUUUAGGUUGUUGUUACAAAAAAAAUUGUCAAUAUACAUAUCAGGAUUCUUUUUACAAAGAGAAAUGAUAUUUGUACAACCACUUUUUGACAACUUUUGAAACAACUCUCUCUCUUAUACUCACAUAUGUUUUUAUUCUCUCUCUUCUUCUCUCCAUUGUUUUUGUCCAAUCUCAAAAGAAGAAAAGUGGUUGUCACCAAGAUUGUCUAAUAUUAGUUGUACAAAUAUCAAUCCUCUUUUACAAAUUAAUUUUGGUGGGCAUAUAUCUAGCGUGGUGACGUCUCAUGAUGUACACGUGGGGUGGGAAUGUAUUAUCUUUAGUCCGUACUCCGUUGCAUCAUUCUUUCAUCAUCAUAACGUUUGUACGUUACUUCGUUUGUUCUCUCUCUUUUUUUACAACAACAAUACAAAUGCACUUCAAAGUUAGUUAUACAUAAUUAAAACGGGAGGGAAACAAUCCGACAUCAUACUGCGAGAGUUCUUAACAGUUAACAUGAUUAUUUACUAUUCACGUUGCGAAUUUGAGAGGCAGCUCAAAUCUAUAUAAAAAAUUUGAUUUUAAAAUAGAAAACAAGUAAAUUUGUUAAUACAAUCACUAAUUUUAUGUUUGAGACUCCUUUUAAAGAAUUGUAGGUAUUUAUCUAUCAACUAGUUAAAAUUAGUUACGUCGUCUAUGAAUGUAUAAGUGGUAUCCACAUACCAACUAUUACUUCAUUUGUAAAUUUACCUAUACGGCGGGUUAAAUUUGAUGGACAACUUCAUACAGUUCUCGAUAGUAUGUUGAAUUAUUCUUUUUUUUUAAAAAAAAAUAAUAAUAAGAAUUGAACUUCUUUUUCAAUAUUUAAAACAAACACACAAGUGGCAUGUCAACCAAUUGUGUUGGAAUUAAUUCAAUUAAAAAAAUGUUUUGAACCAAUAUCAAGACAACUUUUCUAGUGUUUCAAUCCAACCAUUAACACCUAACUCCUUAGGGGAUCCUCUACCUCACUAAAAGUAGCCCUUGAAACAGAUCGCAAAGUACACAAUUUUAACCCCACAUACCUUAUACCUCAGCUUUGCUUACUUACUUGAGUGUCAAAAUAUUUGCAAAUACCACCACCAUAAACUUUUCAAAGCAUUGCUCAACUAUCUUUCAUGGAGCCAACUUCUCAAUCAAGUUCGGAUCACAUACAUACAUUAAACUAUAAAUCAAUAUAAAAUUAUUGGAUUCAAAUAGUUAAUUAGUUUUAAUUAAGAACAACUCAUUAGCAAGAAUUUCAAUUUAAAAUCUUGAUUGAAAACCCAAAAUACUAACCCAUUCUCAUGAUCAUUUGUAGUAAAAAAAAAAAAAAAAAAGUAAAUGUAGAAGCUUCCAAGUAAUUGGAAUACUCUUUGAUUGAUACCAACCAAGUACCAACUCACCAAAUAUUGAAUUUGCAUCCUUAAUAGCUUUGGUACCGCCAAGGUAAGCCGUUAAUGUUUUGAUUUUAUUCCAAAUUCAGCGGCCCUUGAUGCCGUCCAGGUUCAAUAUUAUGCAUUCAGAAAGUUCCUUGAACUAACAUGAUACUCCUUCCAUUGCAGUCUUAUUUGAAAUUGAAAGGAAAGGGAAAAAACGUGUGGGAUAUGUAAUACCAUUAUAGCAUUGCACACGUCCAAUAGAUAAAAAAAGAAAAUCAUGUUUGUUUAUCACAUAAGCCUUACGUAUGAAUUGACAUCAUCUCUUUCUUUAUAUCAAAUAUUGCAUGAUCCUUCCCGUCCCCACUCAUAUCAUAUCGCUUUCCUUCUAGAUAACAUUAUGGAUGCCUUUCCCUUCCAUCAUAAUACCAAUAAUAAUUUACCUAUGUUACUAUAUAUGUAUCAAUUUUUUAUUUAUUUUCGAUUUAUUUCUACUUACUCCCAACAUUUUUUCUCACCCAAUCAUCAUCCAAAACCCAUAAUGCCCUCCUUUACACAACACCAAAACAAAUUACGUAUUCUAUUUAAUUUAAAGUAGUAAUGCAUUAUUAAAAGCAUUCCCACACAAUAACAAUUAUAGAAAACUAAAAUAAGUAAAACGUCCUUCACUGAAAUUCAAGCGCUAUAAUAUAUAUAUAUAUCUGCCACUAAAGCACCAACCAAUCAUUUAAUAAACAAACUCUGCCUCCUUUACAGACAGACCAUAAUAAAAACUCUUUUCUUUGUUCUAUAUAUAAUUAUUCCAUUCCUCUUCAUACAUACUCUCAACAUUACAACAACAAUUCUCAAUUCUCACCCACCCAAAAUACUAAACGCAUCAUUUUCAUUUCCAUGGAACUCUCAAAACAAGAACCAUUAUCUAAACCACCACCUAUGGUGGUUAUGCUACCAUCACCAGGCAUGGGACAUCUUAUACCAAUGAUUGAAUUUGCCAAAAGAAUUAUUAUUCUUAAUCAAAAUCUUCAAAUCACCUUCUUCAUUCCCACCGAAGGUCCACCUUCAAAAGCUCAAAAAACAGUUCUUCAAUCUCUACCAAAGUUCAUUUCACAUACUUUCCUUCCACCAGUUUCCUUCUCAGACCUUCCACCAAACUCCGGGAUAGAGACAAUCAUCUCCCUCACUGUCCUCCGUUCUCUCCCUUCUCUCCGUCAAAACUUCAACACUCUCUCUGAAACUCAUACUAUCACUGCUGUUGUCGUCGACCUC
rnacentral:lncRNA from 1 species